rnacentral:rRNA from 1 species
UUACCUGGUAGUCCACGCUGUAAACGAUGUCGACUUGGAGGUUGUUCCCUUGAGGAGUGGCUUCCGGAGCUAACGCGUUAAGUCGACCGCCUGGGGAGUACGGCCGCAAGGUUAAAACUCAAAUGAAUUGACGGGGGCCCGCACAAGCGGUGGAGCAUGUGGUUUAAUUCGAUGCAACGCGAAGAACCUUACCUACUCUUGACAUCCAGAGAAUUUAGCAGAGAUGCUUUGGUGCCUUCGGGAACUCUGAGACAGGUGCUGCAUGGCUGUCGUCAGCUCGUGUUGUGAAAUGUUGGGUUAAGUCCCGCAACGAGCGCAACCCUUAUCCUUUGUUGCCAGCGGUUCGGCCGGGAACUCAAAGGAGACUGCCAGUGAUAAACUGGAGGAAGGUGGGGAUGACGUCAAGUCAUCAUGGCCCUUACGAGUAGGGCUACACACGUGCUACAAUGGCAUAUACAAAGAGAAGCGACCUCGCGAGAGCAAGCGGACCUCAUAAAGUAUGUCGUAGUCCGGAUCGGAGUCUGCAACUCGACUCCGUGAAGUCGGAAUCGCUAGUAAUCGUGGAUCAGAAUGCCACGGUGAAUACGUUCCCGGGCCUUGUACACACCGCCCGUCACACCAUGGGAGUGGGUUGCAAAAGAAGUAGGUAGCUUAAC